CACGUAGGGCGCGAGCGUUGUCCGGAAUUAUUGGGCGUAAAGAGCUCGUAGGCGGCCUGUUGCGUCCGCUGUGAAAGCCCGGGGCUUAACCCCGGGUCGGCAGUGGAUACGGGCAGGCUAGAGGUAGGUAGGGGAGAAUGGAAUUCCCGGUGUAGCGGUGAAAUGCGCAGAUAUCGGGAGGAACACCGGUGGCGAAGGCGGUGCUCUGGGCCUUACCUGACGCUGAGGAGCGAAAGCGUGGGGAGCAAACAGG
rnacentral:rRNA from 1 species